GUGCCAGCCGCCGCGGUAAUACGUAGGGGGCAAGCGUUGUCCGGAUUUACUGGGUGUAAAGGGCGCGCAGGCGGGUUUGUAAGUCAGUGGUGAAAUCCUGCAGCUUAACUGCAGAACUGCCUUUGAUACUGCAAAUCUUGAGUGCGGAAGAGAGAGACGGAAUUCCAGGUGUAGUGGUGAAAUACGUAGAUAUCUGGAAGAACACCAGUUGCGAAGGCGGUCUCUUGGUCCGUAACUGACGCUCAGGCGCGAAAGCGUGGGUAGCAAACAGGAUUAGAAACCCCUGUAGUCC
rnacentral:rRNA from 1 species